AACCACCAUUGCGUUGAUAUCGUUCUCGGUGGUGUCUUGCAAUGUUCAACUCCACGAUUUGCCAAACUGAAAGCGUUACGUGCUCCAAGUACAAGUGGAUUGAUGGUGUAGAAAGGCUGGAAAGAUGCCAACCCGGUGGCUAUCAUCCAAUACUCAUUGACGAUGUACUUGCAGGCAGAUAUUAAGUUGUUCACAAGCUGGGUGAUGGGACAUAUUCCUCCAUCUGGCUCUCACAUGAUAAGCAACGGGUAACCUAUGUCGCUGUCAAAGUCGGCACUGCAGAUGCACCUCCUUACGAGGCUGAAAUUCUACAUGCCCUGGCAGGCUCUCAACUUGAUCAUCCUGGCCGGGCUAUGAUCCCUACAAUCCAAGCUCAAUUUGAACGCCAAGGUUCCCAACGGACGCCAUCGAUGCUACGUGACAGCCCCAGCUCGUAGCAGUGUCGCUGCAGUAAAAUCGUCAUGUUGCUUUGAAAUUGAGGCUGCACGCGCUCUGGUUGCAUGGCUGGUUUUGGCAGUUGCAUAUACGCAUGUUCGGGUAUUCAUUCAUGGAGGAAAACUUGUUCGCCUGGCUUUCGGUUGCAUCAUACAAGUAUCUUUUAACAUCGGAAGGAGACAGCAGCUAUCCUAGCUAUGCUUCGCACAAUGCUUAUGUUCAAGCCGGACGAACGGGCGACGGCAGAGUUGGUGAUGACUUCUGACUGGAUGGUGACUUGGGGAUUGCCGGAAUUGGAAAAAGUCCUGAUGCUAUGAUCAAAAAGACUUUGCGCUUGAUGGCCCUUUCACGAAGAAGUCCUCAGCCUCAUCUACCAUUGCCGAACAUGCCUCCCACAUUCUGCUUCGCGCGGCAAGAGAGAUGGGCUAAAUGAUUGUAGGAUGUGUGGUGUAAUGUUGUCGUCGCUUAUACUUCCGGGGAAGAUGAUUUUUGCUCGCUUUUGUUUGUGUCCCGGUCGGAUAAGAGUUUUGCCUAGCCUGGUGAAGUCCUCAUCCGCGCUGUGGGUAAAAAUCCAUUAUCGUGAAGCUUAAUAUGUCAAUCCCUCUUCCCCCUUUCUUUCUUUCAAUUCCCUUUAUCAACACUCCCAAUGUAUAGCGACCUCUGAUGUCCAACAGCUGAAGCAACCAAAAUAAGUUGAUUUACGCUCAUAAUUACUGAAUGGAUGAAUAUAAAAAGACUGAAACUUAUUGAUUUGAUUGAUGUUAGCUAAAGUGGACCACCAAUGUCCAAGGUCUCCCAAGUUCGUGGUGAAAUAUGUUAUAUAUUUUCAUACAUAUAUUACUCGCAAC
rnacentral:sRNA from 1 species